GCUGGGCAUGGUGGUGCACACCUGUAAUCCCAGCUACUCAGGAGGCUGAGGCAGGAGAAUUGCUUGAAUCCAGGAGGCGGAGGUUGCAGUGAGCUGAGAUGGAGCCACUGCACUCCAGCCUGGGCAACAGAGCGAGACCCUGUCUCAA
rnacentral:SRP_RNA from 1 species